rnacentral:rRNA from 1 species
AGCUCCAAUAGCGUAUAUUAAAGUUGUUGCAGUUAAAAAGCUCGUAGUUGGAUUUCUGGUGGGAGCGAUCGGUCCGACACUAUGUGUGGGUACUCGUAUUGUCUCCGGCCAUCCUUGGGUGGAGCCUGUCUGGCAUUAGGUUGUCGGGCAGGGGAUGCCCAUCGUUUACUGUGAAAAAAUUAGAGUGUUCAAAGCAGGCUUAUGCCGUUGAAUAUAUUAGCAUGGAAUAAUAAGAUAGGACCUCGGUACUAUUUUGUUGGUUUGUGUGCCAAGGUAAUGAUUAAUAGGGACAGUUGGGGGUAUUCGUAUUCAGUUGUCAGAGGUGAAAUUCUUGGAUUUACGGAAGACGAACUACUGCGAAAGCAUUUACCAAGGAUGUUUUCAUUA